rnacentral:misc_RNA from 1 species
UACGGAGGAUCCGAGCGUUAUCCCGAUUUAUUGGGUUUAAAGGGUCCGUAGGCGGGAUAUUAAGUCAGUGGUGAAAGGCUGUCGCUUAACGAUAGCAUUGCCAUUGAUACUGGUAUUCUUGAGUAUAGUUGAGGUGGGCGGAAUAAGUCAUGUAGCGGUGAAAUGCAUAGAUAUGACUUAGAACACCGAUUGCGAAGGCAGCUCACUAAGCUAUCACUGACGAUGAGGGACGAAAGCGUGGGGAGCGAACAGG